GGGUCAGUAGGUUGGUCGUGCCACCGGUACGUACUGGUCUCACUGAUUCCCCCUUCCUGAAGAACCGUAAUGCCAUUAAUUUGGUGUUGCGGGGAAACAGGACUGUUACUUUGAAAAAAUUAGAGUGUUUAAAGCAAACUAACGCUUGAAUACAUUAGCAUGGAAUAAUGAAAUAGGACGAUCGAUCCUAUUUUGUUGGUUUCUAGGAUUGACGUA
rnacentral:rRNA from 1 species